GACGAACGCUGGCGGCGUGCUUAACACAUGCAAGUCGAACGGACAGGCCUGCUUUUGUGUGGUGCUCGAGUGGCGAACGGGUGAGUAACACGUGAGUAACCUGCCCUUUACUUUGGGAUAACUUCUGGAAACUGGGGCUACUACCGGAUAGGAGCUCCUUCUGCAUGGUGGGGCUUUGAUAGUUUCGGCGGUUGGGGUUGCACUCGCUGCUUAUCAGCUUGUUGGUGGGGUAUUGGCAUACCAAGGCUUUGACGGGUAGCAGGCCUGAGAGGGUGACCGGCCACAUUGGGACUGAGAGACGGCACAGACGCCUACGGGAGGCAGCAGGGGGGAAUAUUGCACAAUGGGCGGAAGCCUGAGGCAGAAACGCCGCGUGCGGGAUGACGGCCUUCGGGUUGUAAACCGCUUUCGCAUGUGACGAAGCGUGAGUGACGGUAACGGGUAAAGAAGCACCGGCUAACUACGUG
rnacentral:rRNA from 1 species